CGGCGGACGGGUGAGUAACACGUGGAUAACCUACCUAUAAGACUGGGAUAACUUCGGGAAACCGGAGCUAAUACCGGAUAAUAUAUUGAACCGCAUGGUUCAAUAGUGAAAGACGGUUUUGCUGUCACUUAUAGAUGGAUCCGCGCCGCAUUAGCUAGUUGGUAAGGUAACGGCUUACCAAGGCAACGAUGCGUAGCCGACCUGAGAGGGUGAUCGGCCACACUGGAACCGAGACACGGUCCAGACUCCUACGGGAGGCAGCAGCC
rnacentral:rRNA from 1 species